UACGAAGGGGGCUAGCGUUGUUCGGAAUCACUGGGCGUAAAGCGCACGUAGGCGGACUUUCAAGUCAGGGGUGAAAUCCCGGAGCUCAACUUCGGAAUUGCCUUUGAUACUGUUGGUCUCGAGUCCGGAAGAGGUGGGUGGAAUUCCUAGUGUAGAGGUGAAAUUCGUAGAUAUUAGGAAGAACACCGGUGGCGAAGGCGGCCCACUGGUCCGGUACUGACGCUGAGGUGCGAAAGCCAGGGGAGCAAACGGG
rnacentral:rRNA from 1 species